UUUUGAGGAUGCCGGAUUAAGUACGCGCAAAUGCGGGUGAGAACCCCGCACACCGUAAACCCAAGGAUUCCUGCGCCAUGGCAAUCAGCGCAGGGUGAGGCGGACCCUAUGGCGAGGCCCCAGAGGCGUAGUCGAUGGAUAGCCGGUUAAUAUUCCGGCCCCGUCUUGUAGUCGUUGAAGCAUCCAGGGACCCUGGAACGAAGCGCGGGCGGUCUUGUGGAUUGACCGUUCAAGGGUGUAGGGAAACCGAGACCUGAGUACGAGGAUGCGGGCUUGCCCAAAUCCAAGUCGUGUGGAGUCAGCAGGCAAGAAAAGCUGGGUGUGGAGGCUGCGAGAUGUCCGUACCGCAAACCGACACAGGUGGGUUAGGCGAGUAGCCUCAGGUGAACGAGUGAAACGUGGUCAAGGAACUCGGCAUAAUGAUCCCGUAACUUCGGAAGAAGGGAUGCCUUUUCAGGCUGCCAGACUUGCUCUGGUUGCUCGAAGAGGCCGCAGAGAAUCGACUCAAGCGACUGUUUAGCAAAAACACGGGUGCGUGCCAAGCCGCAUAAGGCGCCGUAUACGCACUGACUCCUGCCCGGUGCCGGAAGGUUAAGGGGAGAGGUUAGCCGCAAGGCGAAGCUUUGAUCCGAAGCCCCGGUAAACGGCGGCCGUAACAAUAACGGUCCUAAGGUAGCAAAUUCCUUGUCGGGUAAGUUCCGACCUGCACGAAUGGAGUAACGACUUGAGUACUGUCUCGACCACGUGCUCGGCGAAAUAGCAGUCUCGGUGAGGAUUCCGAGUCCCCGCGACAGGACAAAAAGACCCCAUGCACCUUUACUGCAGCUUGUUAUUGACGAUUGCAUAAGACUGUUAGCAUAGGUGGGAGCCGUUGAGACGGGGGCGCUAGCUCUCGUGGAGGCAACAGUGAAAUACCACCCUGUGUUCUGUGAUCGUCUCACCGCGGUAGGCAAACCCUACCCGGGACCGUGACAGGUGGGCAGUUUGACUGGGGCGGUCGCCUCCGAAAGAGUAACGGAGGCGCGCGAAGGUUGGCUCAGCGCGGUCGGUAAUCGCGCCUAUAGAGUGUAACGGCAGAAGCCAGCCUGACGGUGAGACCGACGGGUCGAACCGAGACGAAAGUCGGCCGUAGUGAUCCGGUAGACCGGUGUGGAUCGGCUAUCGCGCAACGGAUAAAAGGUACGCUGGGGAUAACAGGCUUAUCGCGCCCGAGAGUUCACAUCGACGGCGCGGUUUGGCACCUCGAUGUCGGCUUGUCACAUCCUGGGGCUGGAGAAGGUCCCAAGGGUCCGGCUGUUCGCCGGUUAAAGUGGCACAUGAGCUGGGUUCAGAACGUCGUGAGACAGUUCGGUCUGUAUCCGUCGUGGGCGUUGGAGGGUUGAGGGGUGCGAACUCUAGUACGAGAGGACCGAGUUGGACGAUCCGCUCGUGUCCCGGCUGUGGCGCCAGCUGCAACGCCGGGUAGCGAUGAUCGGUGGCGAUAACCGCUGAAAGCAUCUAAGUGGGAAGCGUCCCCCAAGAUGAACCCUCCCUGGGAACUUGAUUCCCCUAAAGGGCCGGAGGAGACUACUCCGUCGAUAGGCAACAAGUGGAAGUAGCGCAAGCUAUUACGAGCUCAGUUGUCCUAAUCGCCCGUGCGGCUUGACUG
rnacentral:rRNA from 1 species